rnacentral:ncRNA from 2 species
UCCAGAAGACAGGGGAGCACGCGCGAGCGUGCUGAGAGUGCGGACCAGCCGCAGACCCUACGAACCUGAUCCGGUUAGCACCGGCGCUAGGGAGUCGAAGUGAAGUCCAU